AAAAUUAUUUUUGAACUUACUUUUGGAUACAAAAGCACAAACAUUUUAACCCCACAAAAAUUAAUUUUUACACAGUAUAUAUCUUGAAAAGUCCCUUCAAAUGGAUGAAAGCCAUUAGACAACAGACAAAGUUUUAAAUGACUUUUUUUUUUUAAAUAAUCCAAGGCUUUCGACUGGUCAUGCUUUUGGAUUAACAGUAUACUUACAGAGAUACCAUUGAGAAACUAACAAAAAUGGAAGCUGCAUGGAAUUAAUACAAAAAUAUGAUAUUCUUUUUCCUAAAUUUUAUUUUUUUAACAAUGACAUUGUUCAUUGUUAUGAUAGGGGUGUUACUAAAUCAAAAAUGAAAUUCAGUUGAAGAAGACCACCAUGGCCAGUGAAAGCUCCAGAUAAUAUGAAAGAGUUUUUAUAUAUAUAAUUUUGCUUAUUUGAUUUCUUUUACCAUGUAAUGGACAUAAUCUGUGUAUUAUACUAAUUGUUAUAUAUGUAAAGUAAGAAAAAAAACCAUUUGCUGCCAAAAUUAAUACUUUUAUAGCCAGUUUUAAUGUUGUCUUUUCUAGAUUUUAGCAUCAACUAAUAUUUUCCAGUCAUAGUAGUAGAGUCUGUAUAAUCAGCAUGACAUUUUUAUUUUUCUUUAGUAUGGGACUUAUCAGACAACCAAACUCAAACUGCGCUUAUGAUGAUUUUCUCCUUCUGCUUGUAUGGAUGUCAACAUUUCUGUUUCUCAUCAAAAUAUAUCUAGCCAUAAGCACUAUCUAAUCUAAAAUAAAAUUGGUUUUAUAAUGUCCCCAGGAUAGCCCUGUUAAUUUUGGGUCAUAAGUCAAGUUCUCAGCAGCUAUUGAAGAGUGAAACUGGGGCAAACUUUUUGUUUCAAGGAAAUAUCUUUUGACCCAUAUGCCCACCAUUCUCCAAACUUAGCUGCUUGCGAAUGUCUCUUAGAAAAAAAUUUGGUAAGUGCUGUCUAAAUCCGUAGGUCAUAAGUCAAGGUCACUGUACUAUUAUUUUAACAUGAAGUUGUCUGCAGACUUAUAUACCAUCACUUUAGCCAAUGAAAUAAAGCCAAAUUAAAAAAUCUAUUCCUUAACCUCUCACAUUAAGGAUUUUUAGAAUUUAUCUGUUUUGUAACAUUAGUCAAGUCAAAUUUCACCGAAGAGUUUUGUAAGGGAAUGAACUGUAGAGUUUUUUUUUAAGGAAAUGAACUGUUUGUAUAAAAUUAGUUAUUAAUAAAUGACUAUUGUAAAGUUACCUAGAAUGAAAUUUAAUGCAGGUGCUCAGCUAUUACAGUUGAACAGUGGUGCUGCAUGUUAGUUGAAUUUAGUGAAUUAGUUUUCAAUCAUGUGCAUGUUGAUAAGUAGAUCUUAUAUUAGAGAUAUAAAGUAACUUAUACAGUCUUUCAAGUUUGCUCAUGCUUUAAAUCAUAGGUAAUUGGUACCUAUGAUGAGUUUAUUUAUAGUUAGAAAAAUAUGACAAUUGUAUCAUAAUUUUUUAUUGUAAGUUAAAUGUAUAUUUUUGAUAUAUUCUGUACAAUUUCUGAAAUCACAAGAAGUUAACAAAAUUUGA
rnacentral:lncRNA from 1 species